AGGAAAAUCAGUCUUUUACGACACUAUAAAAGCAACAUUUUAUACACGUGUCGCUUUAAACAAUAAAAAAGAGUUAAAAUAGUAUUUUGAUAAAUGACAUUGAAGAUAUAUAUUUAUUCUAACUGUUGUUUGAAUUUUUAAGUUAAUCACUUCCCAACUUUAAUUUGAAAUUUUAGUUUUCUUCCUAUUUUCACUCCAUGUUUAUCUCUUUUUAAUUACCACUAUCCACUACCUCAUAACAAGUUACCCACGACAUGUACGUAUCAUAAUAAAAGCUAAAAGCCUAUCAAGUUUGAAGUUUCAAAUUUCACUAUCUACAUAAAAUAAUACUUACUAAUUGUACUUUGUUUUUCACAAAUUUGAUCUACAAGAAGAUGUUUGGUGUUUGUCAAUAACAUAUAAUCUAGAUGGUAGAAAUAUGAACCUCUUGAGAGGUAAUCUCUUUAUUUUUAAUUCUCUAUUUGUUUAUAAUGAACCUUUCAUGGUUAUUUCAACUUUGGCAUGGAUUAGCUUAAUUCAAAUUUGUGCUAGUUGUUACAGGAAAUAAAGGCAGCAUUUAUUUUAUAUGUGAGCGGUUUGUGUUCACAGCUUCAGUUUUCAGAUCAGAAAAUUAUUGAAGAGAAGAUACUGAUCACCAUAGAUUUUAUAGCAAAAUAAGAAGUUAAGAAGAUUUUGUCAAGAGCAAGAAAAAGAAGUUGGAAGUGCCAAAAAGCUGGGGAAUUCAAGUGAAUUGUAACUCAUGUUUGAUCACAGUUCCUUCUAGACUGAACCUCUGCUAGUUUAAAGUCAUUGAUUGUAAUUAUCAACUCAUAAAUUAUAUGGUCAAUUUUGUUGAUGGUGUA